UGGGAAUUUUGGACAAUGGGCGCAAGCCUGAUCCAGCCAUGCCGCGUGCGGGAAGAAGGCCUUCGGGUUGUAAACCGCUUUUGUCAGGGAAGAAAUCUUCUGAGUUAAUACCUCGGGAGGAUGACGGUACCUGAAGAAUAAGCACCGGCUAACUACGUGCCAGCAGCCGCGGUAAUACGUAGGGUGCAAGCGUUAAUCGGAAUUACUGGGCGUAAAGCGUGCGCAGGCGGUUUUGUAAGACAGAGGUGAAAUCCCCGGGCUCAACCUGGGAACCGCCUUUGUGACUGCAAGGCUUGAGUGCGGCAGAGGGGGAUGGAAUUCCGCGUGUAGCAGUGAAAUGCGUAGAUAUGCGGAGGAACACCGAUGGCGAAGGCAAUCCCCUGGGCCUGCACUGACGCUCAUGCACGAAAGCGUGGGGAGCAAACAGGAUUAGAUAGCCCUGGUAGUCCACGCCCUAAACGAUGUCAACUGGUUGUUGGGAAGGUUCCUUCUCAGUAGCGUAGCUAACGCGUGAANUUGACCGCU
rnacentral:rRNA from 1 species